rnacentral:rRNA from 1 species
GAUGAACGCUGGCGGCGUGCCUAAUACAUGCAAGUCGAGCGAACAGACGAGGAGCUUGCUCCUCUGACGUUAGCGGCGGACGGGUGAGUAACACGUGGAUAACCUCCCUAUAAGACUGGGAUAACUUCGGGAAACCGGCGCUAAUACCGGAUAAUAUAUUGAACCGCAUGGUUCAAUAGUGAGAGACGGUUUUGCUGUCACUUAUAGCUGGAUCCGCGCCGCAUUAGCUAGUUGGUAAGGUAACGGCUUAUCAAGGCAACGAUGCGUAGCCGACCUGAUAGGGUGAUCGGCCACACUGGAACUGAGACACGGUCCAGACUCCUACGGGAGGCAGCAGUAGGGAAUCUUCCGCAAUGGGCGAAAGCCUGACGGAGCAACGCCGCGUGAGUGAUGAAGGUCUUCGGAUCGUAAAACUCUGUUAUUAGGGAAGAACAAAUGUGUAAGUAACUAUGCACGUCUUGACGGUACCGAAUCAGAAAGCCACGGCUAACUACGUG